rnacentral:rRNA from 1 species
GAUGAACGCUGGCGGCAUGCCUAACACAUGCAAGUCGAACGGAGUUAAUUGAAGCUUGCUUUGAUUAACUUAGUGGCGGACGGGUGAGUAACACGUGAGCAACCUGCCUCUCAGAGAGGAAUAGCUUCCGGAAACGGAUGGUAAUACCUCAUAACAUAUUUUUUCGGCAUCGAAGAGAUAUCAAAGAUUUAUCGCUGAGAGAUGGGCUCGCGUCUGAUUAGCUAGUUGGUAAGGUAACGGCUUACCAAGGCGACGAUCAGUAGCCGGACUGAGAGGUUGAACGGCCACAUUGGGACUGAGACACGGCCCAG